GGGGAUUUAGCUCAGUGGUACAAGCACCUGCCUGGCAAGCAUGAGGUUGUAAGUUCAAUCCCUG
rnacentral:tRNA from 1 species